AUGAAUUUCAUCCAAUUUGUUGGAAAAAAAUUGAAAUGUAUGCGGCUAGCGUUUGGUGGCUGUCUCCCACAUCCAUGUCCAUGA
rnacentral:rRNA from 1 species